rnacentral:tRNA from 1 species
UCACUGGUGGUCUAUUGUCUAGGAUUCAGCACUUUUACAGCUGUGGCCUGGGUUCGAUUCCCAGUCAGGGAA